rnacentral:misc_RNA from 1 species
UUAUUGAAUAAAUCUGACGUUGGUUGUAGCUGGCUCUCCGGAGCAUGUGCACGCCCGUCACCUUUAUCUUUCCACCUGUGCACACACUGUAGUCCUGGAUACCUCUCGCUGAAAGGCGGAUGCAGAGGGUUGCCGUGCUUUCGCGAGAAGGUCGGCUCCUUCUGAAUUUCCAGGUCUAUGAUUUUAUACACCCCAAACGAAUGUUAUAGAAUGUAAUCAGCAGGCCUUGUGCCUAUAAACCUAUACAACUUUCAGCAACGGAUCUCUUGGCUCUCGCAUCGAUGAAGAACGCAGCGAAAUGCGAUAAGUAAUGUGAAUUGCAGAAUUCAGUGAAUCAUCGAAUCUUUGAACGCACCUUGCGCUCCUUGGUAUUCCGAGGAGCAUGCCUGUUUGAGUGUCAUUAAAUUCUCAACCUUACCCAUUUUGUUAUGAAAUGGUGUGUAGGCUUGGAUGUGGGGGCUUGCAGGUCCACUUCAAUGCGGUCUGCUCCUCUGAAAUAUAUUAGUGGGUUGUGCCCCUAAUCUAUUGGUGUGAUAAUUAUCUACGCCGUGGAUCAGGUUGGCGACAUUAGACCUGCUUCUAACCGUCCGACUCGGACAAACAUUGACCAAUUUGACCUCAAAUCAGGUAAGACUACCCGCUGAACUUAAGCAUAUCAAUAAGCGGAGGAAAAGAAACUAACAAGGAUUCCCCUAGUAACUGCGAGUGAAGCGGGAAAAGCUCAAAUUUAAAAUCUGGUAGUCUUUGGCUGCCCGAGUUGUAAUCUAGAGAAGUGUUACCCGUGCUGGACCGUGUACAAGUCUCCUGGAAUGGAGCGUCAUAGAGGGUGAGAAUCCCGUCUUUGACACGGACUCCCAGUGCUUUUGUGGUGCGCUCUCAACGAGUCGAGUUGUUUGGGAAUGCAGCUCAAAAUGGGUGGUGAAUUCCAUCUAAAGCUAAAUAUUGGCGAGAGACCGAUAGCGAACAAGUACCGUGAGGGAAAGAUGAAAAGAACUUUGGAAAGAGAGUUAAACAGUACGUGAAAUUGCUGAAAGGGAAACGCUUGAAGUCAGUCGCGUUGGCCGGAAAUCAACCUUGGUUCUCCUGGGUGCACUUUCUGGUUAACGGGCCAGCAUCAGUUUUGACCGGUGGAAAAAGGUCAAGGGAAUGUGGCAUCUUCGGAUGUGUUAUAGCCCUUGGUCGUAUACACCGGUUGGGACUGAGGAAUUCAGCACGCCGCAAGGCCG